UAAACUGAACUUUUCCAGCCAGUCAGCAUUAGGGUUUUAAACCCUAAACUGAACUUUUUCCUUUAGUCAGCAUUAGGGUUUUAAACCCUAAACUGAACUUUUCCAGCCAGUCAGUAUUAGGGUUUUAAACCCCAAACUGAACUUUUUCCUUUAGUUAGCAUUAGGGUUUUAAACCCUAAACUGAACUUUUCUUUUCAGUCAGCAUUAGGGUUUUAAACCCUAAACUGAACUUUUUCCUUUAGUCAACAUUAGGGUUUUAAACCCUAAACUGAACUUUUCCAUUCAGUCAGCAUUAGGGUUUUAAACCCUAAGCUGAACUUUUCCAUUCAGUUAGCAUUAGGGUUUUAAA
rnacentral:lncRNA from 1 species